CCAACUCAAAUCAAAUAAUGUCGAUUAAGUCUAGGGGGAAUAGUGCAUGUUGGAGCAAAUUUGAAAUUUGAAUGCAUGCAUGCACGUAAUUCAAAGAUGGAAUAGUGGCUGUAAUUAAUACGCCACUCAAGCACUAAUUAUACGCCGGCCAAGGUAAUUAAUGCAUCCGUAAAAUGAUUCAAGCCGUUGAGAUGUCCGGCAAGGGAAUUUACCAGUUCCGAUCAGUCCCAAGCUCUAUUCCGUCGAAAACCCAAAGGGUCACUCGGAAAGGGAGAGUUUCCGGCAACAAGGAACACACGAGGGUGCUCAGCAGGCCAAAGACACUCCCAAACCAAUUAACCAAACGAAUAAUUCACCGGAAGGAAGCACGGACUGAAAAUAACCAGCAACACAAUAGCAAACCCGAGCAAAAUACUUAAGAAAACAAGACAACCACAACGAGGUUCAACAAACGUGAAUGAAGGCACUAAACGAAGAGAUGCCAAACACAACACAGUUGAACAAAAGUGAAUGAAGGCACAGCAGGGUUCAACAAACCGAAAUACAAGAUAUGAACAAGUUGACACCGUUAAUAACAAACGGAUAGAUACGAAACACAAUGAUUAUCAAUUUCCAGUAGUACGUAACUUAAGGCUCUAAAUGAUACGAAGAUAAGAAUAAAGCUUAGCACAAGAACAUCAAGUCACGUACGUCCAAUCUAAAGAAAACUGAACUUCUAUCACCCAAGCAAAUGGCCGGGAGUAUCAAUCUCCGGCCAAGAAUCGUAAAACAGAAAAACAACGAGGUACAAAACAAAGAUUAUCACGCAACAUGCACCAAUCGGAAGGAAAGACACAUGAAUAGUCAGAGUUCGUGCACCUUUCACCAAUGGACGCAGAUGUGUAAUUUCUUUGCUUCUCUCGCCGGCAGCCCACACAAUGGUUGAGGAAGAUGGAACCAACGGUGGUGUGUACUCAAGACUUCCACGAAGAUCGCCGGAAGUGAUAUGGAGCCAAAAACUUCACCGAAUGUUUAAACUCCUUCCGAUGUAGAGAUGGUGGCCGGUGAACUCUCCAAUACGUGAAGUCCAGUAGCCGCCCUCCUCGUCGGAGGAGCCCAAAAAGGGCGUAGGAGUUCUCCCACGAACACUUCUACCAAGACGUGAACAACCGCCCACCUCGUCGGAGGAAGCCCAAAAAGGGCGGAGGGGCCCUCCCACGAACACCUUAAGAUUUCCCCUUGAACUACGAACUUCAAUAGAUGUUAAGAGCCUUUCUCCAAAGGACGUAGAUGUGAAUUUCCUAUGCUUUUCUCGCCGGCAGUCCACACAGAGGAUGAAGGAGAUAGAAUCACGGUGAUGUGUACUCAAGCUUUCCACAAACACCGCAAAAACCGCCGGAGUGGGAAUGGAACCAAAGAACUUACGUGAGAGAAGGAGCUUUGGUACUUGAGAGUAGCGCCGGUGAGGUGUACUCAAGACUUCCACCUAGACCCCGCAACUUCUUGUGCACAACCUUCUUGUAAAUCUUCGGUGGAAUGCAGUCCGCCAAACUUAUUUGGAAUUUCUCGUAGAUAAGUUUAGGGAGGAUUUGUACCAAGAACUUCACGCUUUUGAGGGAAGGACCCCCCGGAGGGAAUUUCCUCCUAUACACGGACCUUGUAGAAAAUCUCUUACCGAGUGUUGAAUCUUCGCCAAAUGGAGUUGUGUUGAUUGAAUCGUGAAGAUACACAAGGGAGAGUGCCUUGCGUGUGUUGAAAAUGUGAAGGCCGAGCGGAAAUCAAGAGAGAGAGUGAGGAAGGAGUCUAGAGAGAAGUGGGAGCACUUCUUCUAG
rnacentral:lncRNA from 1 species